rnacentral:lncRNA from 1 species
CAUUUUAUCCGAUUUCGGAGAAAUCUUUUUCUUUAAGCAAAUCCUCUUGUCCUUCAAGAGGCAUACUUUGCUUGAGGGCAAGCAAGAAUCUAGUUGGGGAGAGUUGUUAGAUGCCCAAGUUUGCUUAUUUGAGCUAUCAAAUGUGGGCAUCUUUCACUCCUUUUUGUCGAAAAAAUGUUCGAAACCGCCCUUGCUUUUGUUGAUUUGCAA